GGGCACAUUUCCCUUUCAGCAUCUCCGACCACCUCCGCCCGUGGAGCUGUAGAGCCGCUCCGCACAGUUCUGGGUCUGCGCCGCAGACAUCUACACCAUCUACGAGCUACGAGCGGGGUUCUUCAAGGAUGAUGGCGAGGAGGAGGCCAUGUGAGAGAAGCAACACGAGCUCCGCGCCCAGAAGGUGUACUCCCUCUACUUUGAGCUUGGCGGAAUCUUUAUCAAUGUUGGCGUGCUUUGUUUUCUCUUUUUUUUGUGCUUUCCUCCCCUUCGAUUUCCUCCACCCUCGAUCGUUUAUCUUUCUCAUGAUUGGCAGAAGCUGCAAUUAUAUUGUGCUGAUUAAUGUGAUGUGCUUGGCCGCUUAGGGUGCAUUUGAAUCAUCGGAUUAUGGUAUAAUGUCUCUUCCUUGAUUGGAGUGUAUGUAACAUUGGAUCAGUGGAUUUCGAACAGGCCGCUCAAAUUCUGGGAAAACCUGAUUUGGCACCUACGGCUUGAGUGAAGAGACUCAUCGCGCUUUGCGAUAAGGCCCCAGCCACACCAUUUGAUGUGGUUAGAGAUGUGGAGAAACAGUUCGGAAAGAAUUUUUUUGAAUUCUUCGAUGUUGUGCUUGUCGGGUCUGCUUGUACUGCAUACGUUUGUGAUUAGGUACUUCUCUUUAUCUGUUAAAUCUGGGGGUUCUUAACAUAUUUGCUUUCUACCGUUCCUAUCAGUGUUAGGCCUGUGCAACCCAUUUUCUGCUUUCUAACAUAACAUUGCAUACUUGUCUGGAACAGAUCACUUAGGGUGUGUUUGGUUUAAGGAAUCACUACAUCCAAAUUGAGGUGGUGCAUCAUGGAUUCAUUCCUCAAAUUUGGUGGGAUGACCACAUUCCUCAUAUUAGUACUAACUAACUAACUAUGAGGAAUGAGGUGGUGAUGGAUUAACUCAUUCCAUUCCACAAACCAAACAAAAAUAGUGAGGAAUGAGAAGAUGAUGGACUACCUUAUUCCUCAAACCAAACACCCUAUUAUUUUCUCACUUGAUCUCUUGCAUAAUUUCUCAAUUAAAACUUUGCUUCCUAUUUCUUGUUAGGUGCAUCGAACAAGGCUUAAACUUUCAAAGUCAAAUGUCAUUCUCUAAUGCAUUUAUGGAUUCUGUGAACAACUGUUUGAAAUAUUAGAUUUGUUUUGAUGUGCCACACUGAAUUCGGAAUGGACCAGGUUCAACAUCCAGGAGCUGAACAUCUGAUGACGGUUGAUAUCCGGAACAUGCAAGCAAUGGUCUUGUUUCCGUGUUCGAUGCUGCAAUGGCCAGAUUUUCUUUACCAAGCUAGGUUUCCAUCAUCAUACUAUUCAACAUUAUAUUAAGACCAAAAAGGAACAUGGUUCGCCUUGUCAGCCAACUGAACUAGGCUCAGUUCAUUGAAUUAAUCAUGAAACGUAGUGUCCUUUUACUUCAUACUAACUAGCCUUGUCAUUUGAACAAAUAACCUUAGUUGGUAGCUAAAAGUGAUUACACCAAAGAUACGCUUCACCCUUUUUUAGCCAAGCAGCCUUUCAAAAUGCAUAUGAAUUUGAGAUCAUUAUUCUUGUCAAUAAGUAUUUCUUUGUUAGGCUAUUACACUGGUUAUGCUUAUUUUAGAAAUAUAAAGUUGAUGUGCAUGGUUGGAGAGGAAUACGAUAGUGGAAGUUCUCGGGAUUGGGCUGCCAAGGGACCAAUGUUAUGGGUAGAUGCAGUGGCGGAGCUCUAUAAUUUUGACGCCCCAGACCACUUUUAAGAAGCCCUCCAAGAUAUUAUGCAACAAAAUAUACCGCUAAAACAUAUUAUACCAUAAGCAUAGAUUAAAAUACUCCCUCUGUUUUAAAAUAGUAGUGGUUUUAGAGAAUUAGUGAGUUCAUAAUAUAGACAUAAAAAUUCAGAGCUAAAACAACUACUAUUUUAAAACUAAGGGAGUAGUAUUUGUCUCAAUUCAGCACCUAAAAAUAUAACAAACUUAAUAAAAAGAGAGGAGAAGAGAAUAAUCAACAUAUAAGUGAAAGGGGAAAACCGAGGAGAAGAGAACACUUACAAACCAGUGGGACAAUAAAAUGGCUAGCGUUGUCUGCUGUCAUGCUGUGGACUGUCGGCCUUAGAGAGAUGGAAUCUUCAGUCUUGUGCUAGGGACAGUAGGACAAGGAGAGGAAGCCACCAAGCCGAUUAAGUCUGCCACUCUAUCGUCUAGAUUAUGGAACAGUGGGUGGCUCUCUGGCUGACCGGUGGAAGGCGAAGUCGGAGGUUGGAGGAGCUGCUGACCGCCACGGUGGAGCCGAGCCCGUUCAGGUUGUGAACACACAUCUGCAGAGAUAAAAAAGGAGUGGCAUCAAUGGCAGCCACAGAUUGGGGCAUGAAGUGUAACCACUAUGAGAUCAACGUGUUGUUUUUUCAUGUUUAAUAAUUUGAGUUAUAAUAUAUGGUUUGCUUAUAAUGUUUUUAAAAUUUUUUAUUUUGGCGAUGCAGGGGACAUAACUCCUCCAACAGGGAUUAGGCAGGCUAUGGAGAUGCAGGCUGAAGUAGAAAGGAGAAAAUGCGCCCAAGUCCUUGAAUCAGAAGGGAAGAAACAAACCGUGCGAUAAUUUUAGUAAGUUUUUUCUCAUAGAUUCUUCCAACUUUACUGCAUCACCGCCGAGAACACCAUCACCAUUUCUGAAUUCCUUCAUUUACCUUAGAAUUCAAUAUAUUCUUGAGUGCAACGGACAUGUUCUAUUCUGUGGAAUACCUAGAGGACCAUGUUUAGUUGAUUCUUGUAAAACUAUGGGCACAUUUGUCUCCAUUCCCUUCAUGUAUGUUGUGGGAGAUCUUUUCUCUCCUUGCUGUAGAACAUCAAUAAAGUUGGCUUGGUAUAUUGUUCA